rnacentral:rRNA from 1 species
UACGUAGGGUGCAAGCGUUGUCCGGAAUUAUUGGGCGUAAAGAGCUCGUAGGCGGUCUGUCGCGUCUGCUGUGAAAACUCGGGGCUUAACCCCGGGCCUGCAGUGGAUACGGGCUGGCUGGAGGCAGGCAGGGGAGAACGGAAUUCCUGGUGUAGCGGUGAAAUGCGCAGAUAUCAGGAGGAACACCGGUGGCGAAGGCGGUUCUCUGGGCCUGUACUGACGCUGAGGAGCGAAAGCGUGGGGGAGCGAACAGG